AUUUGUAGCCGCCUUCGUUAUUUAAAUAGUCUGAAACUACUUUUUUCUUAAAAACAAAUGUAUAUUUCCGCAAAAAAAGCACCCCUUUUAAUUAGAUUUCUAGUCUAACUUUUGGGGUGCACAUCAUAUGACCUGGGCUACACACGUGCUACAAUGGGAAGUACAACGAGUCGCGAAGUCGCGAGGCUAAGCUAAUCUCUUAAAGCUUCUCUCAGUUCGGAUUGCAGGCUGCAACUCGCCUGCAUGAAGCCGGAAUCGCUAGUAAUCGCGGAUCAGCACGCCGCGGUGAAUACGUUCCCGGGCCUUGUACACACCGCCCGUCACACCACGAGAGUUUGUAACACCCGAAGUCGGUGAGGUAACCUUUUGGAGCCAGCCGCCUAAGGUGGGAUAGAUGAUUGGGGUGAAGUCGUAACAAGGUAGCCGUAUCGGAAGGUGCGGCUGGAUCACCUCCUUU
rnacentral:rRNA from 1 species